UACAGAGGGUGCGAGCGUUGUCCGGAAUCACUGGGCGUAAAGGGCGCGUAGGUGGCGGCCCAAGUCCAUGGUGAAAGCUCGAUGCUCAACAUCGAGUCGGCCACGGAUACUGGGUUGCUCGGGCACUGUAGGGGCAGAUGGAAUUCCGGGUGUAGCGGUGGAAUGCGUAGAGAUCCGGAAGAACACCGGUGGCGAAGGCGGUCUGCUGGGCAGUUGCUGACACUGAGGCGCGACAGCGUGGGGAGCAAACAGG
rnacentral:rRNA from 1 species